GACGAACGCUGGCGGCGUGCCUAACACAUGCAAGUCGAGCGAUGAAGCCCUUCGGGGUGGAUUAGCGGCGGACGGGUGAGUAACACGUGGGUAACCUGCCUUGUAGAGGGGGAUAACAGCCGGAAACGGCUGCUAAUACCGCAUAAGCGCACAGAGGCGCAUGCUUCAGUGUGAAAAACUCCGGUGGUAUAAGAUGGACCCGCGUUGGAUUAGCUAGUUGGCAGGGCAGCGGCCUACCAAGGCGACGAUCCAUAGCCGGCCUGAGAGGGUGGACGGCCACAUUGGGGACUGAGACACGGCCCAGACUCCUACGGGAGGCAGCAGUGGGGAAUAUUGCACAAUGGGGGAAACCCUGAUGCAGCGACGCCGCGUGAAGGAAGAAGUAUCUCGGGUAUGGUAAACUUCUAUCAGCAGGGAGAUAGUGACGGUACCUGACUAAGAAGCCCCGG
rnacentral:rRNA from 1 species